rnacentral:rRNA from 1 species
CGUAUAUUUAAGUUGUUGCAGUUAAAAAGCUCGUAGUUGGAUUUCGGUUGAGAGCGGCCGGUCCGCCGUUUGGUGUGCACUGGCUGGUUUCAGCUUCCUGCAGAGGACGCGCUCUGGGCUUAAUCGUCUGGACGUGGAGUCUGCGUGGUUACUUUGAAAAAAUUAGAGUGUUCAAAGCGGGCUUACGCUUGAAUAUUUCAGCAUGGAAUAACACUAUAGGACUCCUGUCCUAUUUCGUUGGUCUCGGGACGGGAGUAAUGAUUAAGAGGAACAGUUGGGGGCAUUCGUAUUUCAAUGUCAGAGGUGAAAUUCUUGGAUUUUUGAAAGACGAACUUCUGCGAAAGCAUUUGCCAAGGAUGUUUUCAUUAAUCAAGAACGAAAGUUGGGGGCUCGAAGAUGAUUAGAUACCAUCCUAGUCUCAACCAUAAACGAUGCCGACUAGGGAUUGGCGGAUGUUAAUUGAUGACUCCGCCAGCACCUUAUGAGAAAUCAAAGUUUUUGGGUUCCGGGGGGAGUAUGGUCGCAAGGCUGAAACUUAAAGGAAUU